UGUUAGCAGGCUUCUAGUUUUCAUCACACCUUUCUACGGUGGCCAAGAGUUCUCGUCGACCCCGCCCAACUUUACCAAUUUACACAGGGAUCCCUAAGCAGGACCUGUUAUCCGUCAUUGCCAUGUGUGGCAGCAACAUUGCGAAGAGGACAGGUAUUUUGGAGCUAUUUCCUCGGUAACUAUUAUUAAUUUCCUCCGGAAAGCAUCCAAUAAAUAUGUAAAGGAAGAUAGUGUGCACUGGGACAAGAGGACAUAAAGCCCUAUCUUGGGUAAAUUAAUGUGAGGUGUUUCUCCAAAGAAACCAUGAUGAUUUCUUGGCAAGGUCCAAUGGGUAAUUUGGAAUGGGCUUCUUUAAAGGAGCUGAAAAUCAGUGGGAAGUGGAAUGGACAUCAUUUAAUUUUUUCAGUGGGAUGAUAGCACCCCGAGUCUUGCUGAGUGAAGAUCCAAAGGACCAUGUUAUC